AAGUUGUGAUUGUUAUCGCUUAGCUCCUCUAACUUAAUUUAAUUAGAGCAAACCAUGUGCAUUAUGUAUUUACAGCAUAAAACAACAGAGGAGAAUAAUUUAUCAUAAAUGAAAAUACUGAAGUGGCCUCUUCUGCUCUGGAGAACCCUCCUUCAUAAACAAGUAGUUUGGGGAAAAGCCAAUUUCCAGUGGGCUUGUUCACUGUGUUCUUACUUCGGAGAGAGCAUCCAAUUCCAGGAAUAUUUUUGCCAGCAAUAAAUUCACUUUAACCGGAAAAGUUACAGAGGAUUAUCUUAAGUGCCUGCAGAGCAGAAAUGACAAGUCAGAGGAACCAUCCAUUACGUUCACUGUGAAGAAAUUCAAUGUAGGGACAAGCCUGUAUUACUUUCGUAUGGAGAGAAAAACUCAGUAUGGUUUGGCCACACUCAUUCGGCAGAGAAUCACGUCAUACUGGAGAUAUUGUCAGUGACCUGGACAUUGCCCAGAACCUCUGAAGGGAAGGGCAUCACCUGACAUUCCUGGAAGUCAUCUGAUAAAUGUAUAAAGGAUUAAACAAAUUCCGCCAUGUGGAUCUAGAGAAGAAACUGAUUAAAACAAUGAUGUGAGUCAUCAAUGAAGACCACAGUGGGGAGGAACUAGGUGGGAGGAUAGGGAAUAUUCCAGAAGAGAAGAGCAUUUCAAAAAUAAUUUCAACCACAGAAAGGUUGAAAAAGAAUAAAUUCAGGGAAUUCACAGAAAAGGAGACA
rnacentral:lncRNA from 1 species